rnacentral:misc_RNA from 1 species
GUGGGAGGGGGCUUGCUCCCGAUAGCGGUGGCUCAGUCAAGGAGAUUGAGACUGACACAUCGCAAUCGGGAGCAAGCCCCCUCCCAC